AGAGUUUGAUCCUGGCUCAGAUUGAACGCUGGCGGCAUGCCUUACACAUGCAAGUCGAACGGCAGCACGGGAGCAAUCCUGGUGGCGAGUGGCGAACGGGUGAGUAAUAUAUCGGAACGUGCCCAGUCGUGGGGGAUAACGCAGCGAAAGCUGUGCUAAUACCGCAUACGAUCUCUGGAUGAAAGCGGGGGACUCGCAAGAGCCUCGCGCGAUUGGAGCGGCCGAUAUCAGAUUAGCUAGUUGGUGGGGUAAAAGCUCACCAAGGCGACGAUCUGUAGCUGGUCUGAGAGGACGACCAGCCACACUGGAACUGAGACACGGUCCAGACUCCUACGGGAGGCAGCAGUGGGGAAUUUUGGACAAUGGGCGCAAGCCUGAUCCAGCAAUGCCGCGUGCAGGAUGAAGGCCUUCGGGUUGUAAACUGCUUUUGUACGGAACGAAACGGC
rnacentral:rRNA from 1 species